rnacentral:rRNA from 1 species
AUGCACGCUGGCGGCGUGCCUCAUCCACGCAAGUCGCGCGCACGGACGAGAAGCUUGCUUCUCUGAUGUUAGCGGCGGACGGGUGAGUAACACGUGGAUAACCUACCUAUAAGACUGGGAUAACUUCGGGAAACCGGAGCUAAUACCGGAUAAUAUUUUGAACCGCAUGGUUCAAAAGUGAAAGACGGUCUUGCUGUCACUUAUAGAUGGAUCCGCGCUGCAUUAGCUAGUUGGUAAGGUAACGGCUUACCAAGGCAACGAUGCAUAGCCGACCUGAGAGGGUGAUCGGCCACACUGGAACUGAGACACGGUCCAGACUCCUACGGGAGGCAGCAGUAGGGAAUCUUCCGCAAUGGGCGAAAGCCUGACGGAGCAACGCCGCGUGAGUGAUGAAGGUCUUCGGAUCGUAAAACUCUGUUAUUAGGGAAGAACAUACGUGUAAGUAACUGUGCACAUCUUGACGGUACCUAAUCAGAAAGCCACGGCUAACUACGUG